CCUACGGGGGGCUGCAGUCGAGAAUAUUCCACAAUGGACGAAAGUCUGAUGGAGCGACGCCGCGUGUGGGAUGAAGGUCUUCGGAUUGUAAACCACUUUUUUCAGGGAGCAAUUUCGAUGAGAGUACCUGAAGAAUAAGAGGUUACUAACUCUGUGCCAGCAGUAGCGGUAAUACAGAGACCUCAAGCGUUAUCCGGAUUUAUUGGGCGUAAAGGGUAGGUAGGCGGUCUUGUUAGUCGGAUGUUAAAGCUCGGGGCUCAACCCCGAAUCUGCAUUCGAAACGGCAAGACUAGAGGAUGUGAGAGAUCAGUGGAAUUGAUGGUGUAGUAGUGAAAUGCGUUGAUAUCAUCAAGAACACCCAAGGCGAAGGCAACUGAUUGGCACAUAUCUGACGCUGAGGUACGAAAGCGUGGGGAGCGAAUGGGAUUAGAUACCCCUGUAGUC
rnacentral:rRNA from 1 species